rnacentral:misc_RNA from 1 species
UACGGAGGGUGCUAGCGUUAAUCGGAAUUACUGGGCGUAAAGCGCGCGUAGGUGGCUUGAUAAGCCGGUUGUGAAAGCCCCGGGCUCAACCUGGGAACGGCAUCCGGAACUUUCAGGCUAGAGUGAAGGAUAGGAAGGUAGAAUUCCCGGUGUAGCGGUGAAAUGCGUAGAGAUCGGGAGGAAUACCAGUGGCGAAGGCGGCCUUCUGGACUGACACUGACACUGAGGUGGGAAAGCGUGGGUAGCUAACAGG